GGUGGCGUCACUUUUACCAGUUAGAGUUAUGCUCCUUAACAAAAGGAAAAAAUGGUGAAUUUUUCGUUUCCGUUUUCCAACUUUAGUUUGUCUCUUCCAAAUGAUAUAAAACUUAUACACACUGUUCAUUACAACAAAACACAGAUAAAGUUUGAAUUUUGAUGGUGCCACUUUUCCAGUUCAAGAGUUAUGCCCCUUUACUAAAAGCAAAAUUGCUGAAUUGUUCGUUUCCGUUCUCUAACUUUAUUUUGCUUCAACCUAAAAUGUUAUGAAACUUAUAAACAAUGCUUAUUACCACAAAACACGUACCAAGUAUGAAUUUUUGUAAUUUCUUUUUUUUGUGUUCUAGGGUUAUGCUCCUUUACAAAUGGAAAAAAAUGCUGAUUUUUUUUGUUUCCGAUCUCUAACUUAAGUUUGUCUCAAUUAAAUGCUAUGAAAUGCAUAUAUAAUGAUUAUUGCCACAAAACUCAGUUUUAGUUCAAAUUUUGGUAGCGUCACUUUUAAAGUUCUUGAGUAAUGUCUCUCUAUAUCUUUAAAUGUUAACGGGAGCAUCAACUGAGUCCCUAUGGACACAUUCUCCAUUUAUUUAAGUUAAAUUAUUCAAUCUUUGGGCUAAGAAAAAAAUAAGGAAAUUAAUUGAAACCUUAUAGUCAUAAAUAACAUUGCCUAUUCAUCAGAUCAUGCACAAUUGAUUUUGUUUUGUAAAUAACAAUAGAGAAAAAAAAUAUUGUGAAAACAGGGGGGGGGGGGUGUUUAUGUCAUAGAGCCUGUUGUUAGCAGCAAAGAAUCUUAGAUUAUUAUACAAAGUAUGCAAAACUAAAAAAUAAUGUAUCUGCUGUCUCUCUUUUAUAUGAAAAUACAUACUUAGAUAUACAUUAUUAUUAUUAUAUAUCUGAUUUGCAAUGGUUGCUAAGCAAGAUAUUAUAUCAUGGAUAUGUCCCU
rnacentral:lncRNA from 1 species